AUUCCUACGAGUGUCCAUCACUCCUGCCAAGGCAUUUCUACUUUUCGACCUAUGGAGAAAUACAAGUUUUAAGACCCCCUGAUCACGUUUUGGUCGAAUAACUAUGGGGGAGGAAAGAAAUGCUUUAACAGUGGAGAAGCGUUCCACGGGAAAUGCAGAAGAAAGCCUAGGUGCUUAAAUUGCGGGGGAGAUCAUGGGGCGUUAAGCAGAAGGUGCACGGUGGCACAAGUAGCGCUGGCCACCAAUAAAAUAAUGGCAUACAAGAACAAAAGUUUCGAAGAGGCCAGGAAGAUGGUGAGGAUGGAAGUAGGGUUGGAGGUAAAAGGGAGUAGAUAUGGGGAGGAUGAGGAGGACGAAGAGGUUCAGGAAGAGAGCUGGUUAGAGAAAGAAUUCCCAAAGAUAAAGAGGAGGAGUAAGAUAAUAAUAGAGAAAUCCCGAACAUGAAAAAUGUCUGGACCGAAAGAGAGGAGAGGAGGAAAACAGAGAAGGGGGA